UCCCUGUUGGCUUAGCUGGUAAAGAGUCUGCCUGCAAUGUGGGAGACCUGGGUUCGAUUCCUGGGUUGGGAA
rnacentral:tRNA from 1 species